rnacentral:rRNA from 1 species
GUGUCAGCCGCCGCGGUAAUACAGAGGUCCCAAGCGUUGUUCGGAUUCACUGGGCGUAAAGGGUGCGUAGGCGGCCAGGUAAGUCUGGUGUGAAAUCUCGGAGCUCAACUCCGAAACGGCACUGGAAACUCUCUGGCUUGAGGUUGGGAGGGGGGACUGGAAUUCUCGGUGUAGCAGUGAAAUGCGUAGAUAUCGAGAGGAACACCAGUGGCGAAGGCGAGUCCCUGGACCAAUCCUGACGCUGAGGCACGAAAGCCAGGGGAGCAAACGGGAUUAGAAACCCGCGUAGUCC